GAUUAACGCUAGCGGCAUGCCUAAUACAUGCAAGUCGAACGAGAAUUUAUUCUAGUGGCGAACGGGUGAGUAAUGUAUUUCUAACCUGCCCUAGAGAGUGGGAUAACUAUUGGAAACGAUAGCUAAUACCGCAUAGGAUAUUGGAGGGCAUCCUCUAAUGUUUAAAGGUGCGUUUGCACCACUUUGGGAUGGGGAAAUAUCACAUUAGCUUGUUGGCGGGGUAAAGGCCCACCAAGGCGAUGAUGUGUAGCCGAGCUGAGAGGUUGAUCGGCCACAAUGGGACUGAGACACGGCCCAUACUCCUACGGGAGGCAGCAGUAGGGAAUUUUCCACAAUGGACGAAAGUCUGAUGGAGCAAUGCCGCGUGAGGGAUGACGGUCUUCGGAUUGUAAACCUCUGUUGUAAGGGAAGAACAAGCAGGAUAGGAAAUGAUCUUGCUCUGACGGUACCUUACCAGAAAGUCACGGCUAACUAUGUGCCAGCCGCCGCUGUAA
rnacentral:rRNA from 1 species